CCUUGUUGUGACUCUUCUAUGUCAUGUGGACAGAGCAGCAGGCCGAGAGCCAGAAGACAUGGUACUACUCAUGAAGGGGUCCUAACAAGAACAUCUCCAACAGCUAGUCACGCAACAUAAGAGGAAACAACUUCACUUUGCCAACUGAGGAAAUAAUGGUUCAGGAUGCCACUGAUGUUGACAGCUGUUCUUUUAAAAUACUGAUAUUCAACAUGACAAUGCAUGUGACUUGCCAAGGAAUUGAGAAGCUGAAAGUACAGUGACAUGGUUAUGACAGGGCUGCAAAAGACAUGACUUGUAAUGUCAUUUCAAAGCUUUCUCUAAAAAUAAGUUGAAAAACACAAAAUGAAUUUG
rnacentral:lncRNA from 1 species